UUCUAAUCAUACAUGGUGCCACCUUACACCUUGGCUGCCUGUGUGAACGAGUCGUAUAAGGGGUAGCGACCUGGGUGUUGCCUGCUGAAGCAAGUCCAUCCCAAAAAAACUGCAGCAACUUAGACUCCGCUCCCUGGUACGGCCCACAACAUCAUCCUCACAGACUUUAAACCAUUAAUGUGACAGAGAUGACGCCAGCCCCUCGGAGGCAUGCCACAAAACAUUUUGUUACGCCAAAAAAGCAAGAAGGAACUCCUGGCAGGCGCUUAGACUUUUCUGAUGGAAUGCUUGAAUGGAGAAUUAUGCAACAGAUGCUUAGAUCACCUCCAAAGAGGACUGGAGGCUGUUAUUGCCAGGAACGGCUUGGCACCGGCAACGCAAUAUUGUCCUAAACAUUUUGACGGUUGCCAUAGAUAUUGCUGUAGCAUUGACUGGAAAAAUUAUGCAUUUUAAUGUAUCUUGAAUCUCCUAGAAUUAAAUGUGAAAGAUAGAAUAACACUGGUCUCCU